rnacentral:rRNA from 1 species
ACUCCUACGGGAGGCAGCAGUGGGGAAUAUUGCACAAUGGGCGGAAGCCUGAUGCAGCGACGCCGCGUGAGGGAUGACGGCCUUCGGGUUGUAAACCUCUUUCAGCAGGGACGAAGCGCAAGUGACGGUACCUGCAGAAGAAGCGCCGGCCAACUACGUGCCAGCAGCCGCGGUAAGACGUAGGGCGCGAGCGUUGUCCGGAUUUAUUGGGCGUAAAGAGCUCGUAGGCGGCUUGUCGCGUCGAAUGUGAAAUCUCAGGGCUCAACUCUGACAUUGCAUUCGAUACGGGCAGGCUAGAGUUCGGUAGGGGAGACUGGAAUUCCUGGUGUAGCGGUGAAAUGCGCAGAUAUCAGGAGGAACACCGGUGGCGAAGGCGGGUCUCUGGGCCGAUACUGACGCUGAGGAGCGAAAGCGUGGGGAGCGAACAGGAUUAGAUACCCUGGUAGCGUCGUCU